GAUGAACGCUGGCGGCGUGCUUAACACAUGCAAGUCGAACGGUCAAGCAGAGCUUGCUCUGUGCUUCAGUUGCGAACGGGUGAGUAACACGUGAGCAACCUGCCCCUCACUCUGGGAUAAGUGCUGGCAACGGCCUCUAAUUCUUGCUAUGAGCUGCUACCGCAUGGUCAGCAGUUGGAAAGAUUUUUCGGUCUGGGAUGGGCUCACGUCCUAUCAGCUUGUUGGUGAGGUAAUGGAUCACCAAGGCGUCGACGGGUAGCCCGCCUGAGAAGGUGAGCGGCCGCACUGGGACUGAGGCGAGGCAGAGACUCCUACGGGAGGCAGAAGUGCGGAAGCCUGAACGAUGGACGCAAGCCUGAUGAAGAAGCGCCGCGUGAGGGAUAACGGCCUUAGGGUUGUAAACCACUUUUAGCAGGGAAGAAGCGAAAGUGACGGUACCUGAAGAAAAAGCGCCGGCUAACUACGUG
rnacentral:rRNA from 1 species